rnacentral:rRNA from 1 species
AGUGAACGCUGGCGGUAGGCCUAACACAUGCAAGUCGAACGGCAGCACAGUAAGAGCUUGCUCUUACGGGUGGCGAGUGGCGGACGGGUGAGGAAUACAUCGGAAUCUACUUUUUCGUGGGGGAUAACGUAGGGAAACUUACGCUAAUACCGCAUACGACCUACGGGUGAAAGCAGGGGAUCUUCGGACCUUGCGCGAUUGAAUGAGCCGAUGUCGGAUUAGCUAGUUGGCGGGGUAAAGGCCCACCAAGGCGGCGAUCCGUAGCUGGACUGAGAGGAUGAUCAGCCACACUGGAACUGAGACACGGCCCAGACUCCUACGGGAGGCAGCAGUGGGGAAUAUUGGACAAUGGGCGCAAGCCUGAUCCAGCCAUACCGCGUGGGUGAAGAAGGCCUUCGGGUUGUAAAGCCCUUUUGUUGGGAAAGAAAAGCAGCAGGUUAAUACCCCGCUGUUCUGACGGUACCCAAAGAAUAAGCACCGGCUAACUUCGUG